rnacentral:rRNA from 1 species
CUACGGGACGCACCAGUGGGGAAUAUUGGACAAUGGGGGAAACCCUGAUCCAGCAAUGCCGCGUGUGUGAAGAAGGCCUGCGGGUUGUAAAGCACUUUCGGUUGGGAGGACUGCUUCUAGCACUAAUAUUGUUGGAAGUUGACGUUACCUUCAGAAGAAGCACCGGCUAACUCCGUGCCAGCAGCCGCGGUGAAUACGGAGGGUGCAAGCGUUAAUCGGAAUUACUGGGCGUAAAGCGCGCGUAGGCGGCUAGAUCAGUCGGGUGUGAAAGCCCCGGGCUUAACCUGGGAACUGCAUCCGAUACUGUCUAGCUUGAGUACAGGAGAGGAGAGUGGAAUUCCACAUGUAGCGGUGAAAUGCGUAGAUAUGUGGAGGAACACCAAUGGCGAAGGCAGCUCUCUGGCCUGAUACUGACGCUGAGGUGCGAAAGCGUGGGGAGCAAACAGGAUUAGAUACCCGGGUAGUC